GUAGAUAUGAGGGCAAAUUUGGCAUCGAGGUUUAAUGCAUGGAUUGGUUCCUGAGCUAGAGUUACUAUGGUGCGGUGUGCAGUUACUGGUGAGAACAUGUUUCAGGU